rnacentral:rRNA from 1 species
AUUGAACGCUGGCGGCAGGCCUAACACAUGCAAGUCGAGCGAGCGGCGGACGGGUGAGUAAUGUCUGGGAAACUGCCUGAUGGAGGGGGAUAACUACGGGAAACUGUAGCUAAUACCGCGUACCAUAGGAUGAGCCCAAGUGGGAUUAGGUAGUUGGUGAGGUAAAGGCUAACCAAGCCGACGAUCUCUAGCUGGUCUGAGAGGAUGACCAGCCACACGGGGACUGAUGCACGGCCCAGACUCCUACGGUGGGCAGCAGUGGGGAAUAUUGCGCAAUGGGUGCAACCCUGACGCAGCCAUGCCGCGUGAAUGAAGAAGGCCUUCGGGUUGUAAAGUUCUUUCGGUAGCGAGGCGUUAACUUCAGAAGAAGCACCGGCUAACUCCGUGCCAGCAGCCGCGGUAAUUC